UACAGAGGGUGCGAGCGUUAAUCGGAAUUACUGGGCGUAAAGCGUGCGUAGACGGUUAUUUAAGUCGGAUGUGAAAGCCCCGGGCUCAACCUGGGAAUUGCAUUCGAGACUGAAUAGCUAGGGUGCGGUAGAGGGAAGCGGAAUUUCCGGUGUAGCGGUGAAAUGCGUAGAGAUCAGGAAGAACACCCGCUGGCGCAAGCAGACCACCUGGCCGAGACCUGACGCUGAGGCACGAGAGCGUGGGGAGCGAACCGG
rnacentral:rRNA from 1 species